rnacentral:rRNA from 1 species
UACGUAGGGGGCAAGUGUUGUCCGGAUUUAUUGGGCGUAAAGAGCGUGUAGGCGGCCAGACAGGUCCGUUGUGAAAACUCGAGGCUCAACCUCGAGAUGUCGAUGGAAACCGUCUGGCUAGAGUCCGGAAGAGGAGUGUGGAAUUCCUGGUGUAGCGGUGAAAUGCGCAGAUAUCAGGAAGAACACCAAUGGCGAAAGCAGCUCUCUGGGACGGUACUGACGCUGAGACGCGAAAGCGUGGGGAGCGAACAGG